rnacentral:rRNA from 1 species
AUUGAACGCUGGCGGCAGGCCUAACACAUGCAAGUCGAGCGGAUGAAGGGAGCUUGCUCCUGGAUUCAGCGGCGGACGGGUGAGUAAUGCCUAGGAAUCUGCCCGGUAGUGGGGGAUAACGUCCGGAAACGGGCGCUAAUACCGCAUACGUCCUGAGGGAGAAAGUGGGGGAUCUUCGGACCUCACGCUAUCAGAUGAGCCUAGGUCGGAUUAGCUAGUUGGUGGGGUAAAGGCCUACCAAGGCGACGAUCCGUAACUGGUCUGAGAGGAUGAUCAGUCACACUGGAACUGGGACACGGUCCAGACUCCUACGGGAGGCAGCAGUGGGGAAUAUUGGACAAUGGGCGAAAGCCUGAUCCAGCCAUGCCGCGUGUGUGAAGAAGGUCUUCGGAUUGUAAAGCACUUUAAGUUGGGAGGAAGGGCAGUAAGUUAAUACCUUGCUGUUUUGACGUUACCAACAGAAUAAGCACCGGCUAACUUCGUG